rnacentral:lncRNA from 1 species
GAUAAUUAGUUUUGUUUGGGUUAUUAAAGCUACAAAUUAUAAGGAUAUAAUCAUGUAAUUAGGUAAUGAAGCACUCAACAGCGGCAGUGUCCAAACUCCCUUCAUCCGCCGGAGCAACGACGGUUGUGGCCAACAUUCGGAUUGAUUGGAAACAUACGCCGGAGGCCCAUCACUCAAAGGUGGAUACCGCAAGCUUUGAGAUGCGGCCAAUUAUUUCCCUAUUUCUAACUGGCGAAGAAAUCAACUAGUUUCCUUUAAUGGUAGAGAGGACGAUUUCAGUUGUUGUAGAGGGUGGCUCUCCGACAUGUGCGGCGGGAGACACACCUUUAUAGUACUCUGACAAGUAGUUGUUUGGGUUUAGGUUGGGGAUGGGUUUUGGGUGGGAUAAGGGUGGA